rnacentral:misc_RNA from 1 species
GGGGGGGGGCAUGUGCACGUCUUCCCUUUUGUUGACCCAUUCUCUCUCAAAUGCUACACCUUGUGCACCUAUUGUAGGUCCUCGACAGAGGAUCUAUGUUUUUCAUAUCACACCUUGUUGCAUGUCUAUAGAAUGUAUUGCAAACCGUCAACCCGACGGUCAAAUAAAAAUCAUACAACUUUCAGCAACGGAUCUCUUGGCUCUCGCAUCGAUGAAAAACGCAGCGAAUUGCGAUAAGUAAUGUGAAUUGCAGAUUUUCAGUGAAUCAUCGAAUCUUUGAACGCACCUUGCGCUCCUUGGUAUUCCGAGGAGCAUGCCUGUUUGAGUGUCAUCGAAUUCUCAAUCAUGUCUUGAUGCAUUUCAAGGACAUGGCUUGGAGUUGGGGGUUGCUGGUGGCGAAAAUGCUGUCAGCUCUCCUGAAAUGCAUUAGCAAAGGGUGGCAAGUCUUUUCGACGUGCAACGGCCUUCGACGUGAUAAUGAUC